AGGGAGCUGUCUACCACAAUGGUCUAUGUCUUAAAACCCAAUGACCAUCAUUCAUUACUCCAAAUCCAUGCAUUCACAACCAAAAGUUUACAAUGAGAUUAAAAAUAAAAAUAAAUAAAAUAAAGAUUAGGGUUUAAGACCAAAAUUUGGCAUAGUUUUGCCCUUCACCAAAAGAGGAGAGAGAGAGGACUUGAGAAACCAAACCAUUCUUAUACAAUUGAGUGGUGGAUUGUGGAAGGGUGGCCACAUCUCCACCCUUGAUCUCUAAGAUUUCUAAUGUAGAUCUAUGGCCUUCAUUCAUUCAAGUGUCAAUUUCGUUACCAAUACUGAUGGUUCUUGUAAG
rnacentral:lncRNA from 1 species